GUGUUGUUGGUGUGGUGGGGAGAAAGGCUGAACUCAAGCCCCUAGUCCAAAACUUCCCGUAAUGAACUCAAGGCCCCAGCAAGCUGUAAAUUACUAAUAAAUUAGAAUUAACAAAGAAAGCGAUUGCAGACUAGAUUAGUGUUAACUCUAAAUUAGAUUUAACUCUCCAAUACAAGCUGUAAAUUACUAAUAAAUCCCUGAUUUUUUUGAAAUUUUCAGGGGCCCUAGUGUGGCUCCAUCCCUAUGAGGGAAGGAUUUUACCCUUCGAAUGUGAAAUUCGUUUAAAUCUUCCAUAAUAUCAUUGUCU
rnacentral:misc_RNA from 1 species